rnacentral:rRNA from 1 species
AACGAACGCUGGCGGCGCGUCUUAACCAUGCAAGUCGAGCGGCAGGCAGCAAUGCCGAGAGCGGCGGACUGGUGAGUAACACGUGGGUAACGUACCCCGAUGCCCGGGACAGCCUGUAGAAAUAGAGGGUAAUACCGGAUAGGUCACCGUUUUUGUAAGGAAGACGGCGGGAAAGGAGCUUCGGCUCCGCGCUGGGAUCGGUCUGCGGCCCAUCAAGCUCGUUGGUGAGGUAAGAGCUCACCAAGGCGAGGACGGGUAUCCGGCCUGAGAGGGCGGACGGACACAUUGGGACUGAGAUACGGCCCAGACUCCUACGGGAGGCAGCAGUAAGAAUAUUCCGCAAUGGGGGGAACCCUGACGGAGCGACGCCGCGUGAACGAAGAAGGCCGGAAGGUUGUAAAGUUCUUUUCUGUUCGAGGAAUAAGUGUCGGAGGAAAUGCCGACA